UGAUUCUAGAUGCGAUGUGGGGACGGAGAAGGUUAGGUCAGCCGGGUGUUGGACGUCCCGGUUUAAGCGUGUAGGCGUGCCCCUUAGGCAAAUCCGGGGGGCUGAGCUGAGGCGUGAUGACGAGGAACCACGGCUCCGAAGUGAUUGAUACCAAGCUUCCAGGAAAAGCCACUAAGCUUCAGUCUAGAGUUGACCGUACCGCAAACCGACACAGGUGGGCAGGAUGAAAAUUCUAAGGCGCUUGAGAGAACUCAGGAGAAGGAACUCGGCAAAUUAACACCGUAACUUCGGGAGAAGGUGUGCCCCGGUAGCGUGUAGAGACUUGCUCUCGAAGCGCGAUGGGGUUGCAGUGAAAUGGUGGCUGCGACUGUUUAAUAAAAACACAGCACUCUGCAAACACGAAAGUGGACGUAUAGGGUGUGACGCCUGCCCGGUGCCGGAAGGUUAAGUGAUGGGGUGCAAGCUCUUGAUCGAAGCCCCGGUAAACGGCGGCCGUAACAAUAACGGUCCUAAGGUAGCGAAAUUCCUUGUCGGGUAAGUUCCGACCUGCACGAAUGGCGUAACGAUGGCCACACUGUCUCCUCCUGGGACUCAGCGAAGUUGAAAUGUUUGUGAAGAUGCAAUCUACCCGCGGCUAGACGGAAAGACCCCAUGAACCUUUACUGUAGCUUUGCAUUGGACUUUGAACCGGUUUGUGUAGGAUAGGUGGGAGACUGUGAAGCCGGGACGCUAGUUUCGGUGGAGUCAACCUUGAAAUACCACCCUGAUUUGUUUGAGGUUCUAACCUUGGUCCGUGAAUCCGGAUCGGGGACCGUGCAUGGUAGGCAGUUUGACUGGGGCGGUCUCCUCCCAAAAGGUAAUGGAGGAGUACGAAGGUACGCUUAGGGCGGUCGGACAUCGCCCACAAAGUGCAAUGGCAAAAGCGUGCUUGACUGCGAGACCCACAAGUCGAGCAGGUACGAAAGUAGGUCAUAGUGAUCCGGUGGUUCUGUAUGGAAGGGCCAUCGUUCAACGGAUAAAAGGUACUCUGGGGAUAACAGGCUAAUUCCUCCCAAGAGUUCAUAUCGACGGGGGAGUUUGGCACCUCGAUGUCGGCUCAUCACAUCCUGGGGCUGUAGUCGGUCCCAAGGGUAUGGCUGUUCGCCAUUUAAAGUGGUACGCGAGCUGGGUUUAAAACGUCGUGAGACAGUUUGGUCCCUAUCUGCCGUGGGCGCUGGAAAUUUGAAGGGGGCUGCUCCUAGUACGAGAGGACCGGAGUGGACGAACCUCUGGUGUACCGGUUAUGACGCCAGUCGUAUCGCCGGGUAGCUAAGUUCGGAAGAGAUAAACGCUGAAAGCAUCUAAGCGUGAAACUCGCCUUAAGAUAAGAUUUCCCGGAGUCUUGAACUCCCUGAAGGGUCGUCGAAGACCACGACGUUGAUAGGUCAGGUGUGGAAGCGCAGCAAUGCGUUAAGCUAACUGAUACUAAUUGCCCGUGCGGCUUGAUCC
rnacentral:rRNA from 1 species